GGUAGUCCACGCCGUAAACUAUGAAUACUAGCUGUAUGCCGUAUCGACCCGGUAUGUAGCGAAGCUAACGCGUUAAGUAUUCCGCCUGGGGAGUACGGUCGCAAGACUAAAACUCAAAGGAAUUGACGGGAGCCGCACAAGCAGUGGAGCGUGUUGUUUAAUUCGAUGGUAAGCGAAGAACCUUACCAAGGUUUGACAUCCUAGGAAUUUUGAUGAAAGUCGAGAGUGCCUUCGGGAACCUAGUGACAGGUGUUGCAUGGCCGUCGUCAGCUCGUGUCGUGAGAUGUUUGGUUAAG
rnacentral:rRNA from 1 species